CAGGGCCUAAUUGGGCCUCUGAUGAAAGGGUCGGGCUUGGUUUGUGGUUAGGUCCACUCUUUCCUAGCCAAUUUGGCCUUCUGCCAACUUAAUUGGGCCUGGUCUGGGCCUGAUUUAGGGCUAAUUGGGCCUGCUGGAGUCAACAAGUUAUGAACAUAGUUCGGACCCAGCUGAACUGGGUUAAAUUGGAUUCGGGUUUAGCCCAAUUUGCUUAAUUUGGGUUCAUUCAAGCUUGGUCAGGUUCAGACCCAACACAAUUUAGGCUUAAUUGACCC
rnacentral:lncRNA from 1 species